rnacentral:rRNA from 1 species
CGUACCCUUCGGUUCGGAAUAACUCAGGGAACCUUGAGCUAAUACCGGAUACGCCCUUUUGGGGAAAGGUUUACUGCCGAAGGAUCGGCCCGCGUCUGAUUAGCUUGUUGGUGGGGUAACGGCCUACCAAGGCGACGAUCAGUAGCUGGUCUGAGAGGAUGAUCAGCCACACUGGGACUGAGACACGGCCCAGACUCCUACGGGAGGCAGCAGUGGGGAAUAUUGGACAAUGGGCGCAAGCCUGAUCCAGCCAUGCCGCGUGAGUGAUGAAGGCCUUAGGGUUGUAAAGCUCUUUUGUCCGGGACGAUAAUGACGGUACCGGAAGAAUAAGCCCCGGCUAACUUCGUGCCAGCAGCCGCGGUAAUACGAAGGGGGCUAGCGUUGCUCGGAAUCACUGGGCGUAAAGGGCGCGUAGGCGGCCGAUUAAGUCGGGGGUGAAAGCCUGUGGCUCAACCACAGAAUUGCCUUCGAUACUGGUUGGCUUGAGACCGGAAGAGGACAGCGGAACUGCGAGU